UCCGAGUUAACCCCGGCAGUCUCCCGUGAGUGCCCAACUAAAUGAUGGCAACAUGGAACGAGGGUUGCGCUCGUUGCGGGACUUAACCCAACAUCUCACGACACGAGCUGACGACAACCAUGCACCACCUGUGAACCGGCCCCAAAGGGGAAACCACAUCUCUGCGGCGAUCCGGCCCAUGUCAAGCCUUGGUAAGGUUCUUCGCGUUGCAUCGAAUUAAUCCGCAUGCUCCGCCGCUUGUGCGGGCCCCCGUCAAUUCCUUUGAGUUUUAAUCUUGCGACCGUACUCCCCAGGCGGAAUGCUUAAUGCGUUAGCUCCGACACUGACGAGCAUGCUCGCCAACGUCUAGCAUUCAUCGUUUACGGCGUGGACUAC
rnacentral:misc_RNA from 1 species